rnacentral:rRNA from 1 species
GACGAACGCUGGCGGCGUGCUUAACACAUGCAAGUCGAACGGAAAGGCCCUGCUUUUGUGGGGUGCUCGAGUGGCGAACGGGUGAGUAACACGUGAGUAACCUGCCCUUGACUUUGGGAUAACUUCAGGAAACUGGGGCUAAUACCGGAUAGGAGCUCCUGCUGCAUGGUGGGGGUUGGAAAGUUUCGGCGGUUGGGGAUGGACUCGCGGCUUACCAGCUUGUUGGUGGGGUAGUGGCUUACCAAGGUUUUGACGGGUAGCCGGCCUGAGAGGGUGACCGGCCACAUUGGGACUGAGAUACGGCCCAGACUCCUACGGGAGGCAGCAGGGGGGAAUAUUGCACAAUGGGCGGAAGCCUGAUGCAGCAACGCCGCGUGCGGGAUGACGGCCUUCGGGUUGUAAACCGCUUUCGCCUGUGACGAAGCGUGAGUGACGGUAAUGGGUAAAGAAGCACCGGCUAACUACGUG